UACGAAGGGGGCUAGCGUUGCUCGGAAUUACUGGGCGUAAAGCGCACGUAGGCGGCUCUGUAAGUUAGAGGUGAAAGCCCGGGGCUCAACUCCGGAACUGCCUUUAAGACUGCAUCGCUUGAAUCCAGGAGAGGUGAGUGGAAUUCCGAGUGUAGAGGUGAAAUUCGUAGAUAUUCGGAAGAACACCAGUGGCGAAGGCGGCUCACUGGACUGGUAUUGACGCUGAGGUGCGAAAGCGUGGGGAGCAAACAGG
rnacentral:rRNA from 1 species